rnacentral:rRNA from 1 species
CCCCAAAUCUGUGCUAAGUUGAUAAAACGUGGUCCGAUUGCAUUGACAGCUAGGAUGUUUGCUUGGAAGCAGCAAUUCAUUUAAAGAGUGCGUAACAGCUCACUAGUCGAGCGAUCGGGCGUGGAUAAUAAUCGGGCAUCAAGUACAGUACCGAAGCUAUGGACUUAUAGAAAUAUAAGUGGUAGGGGGAGCAUUCUGUCUGCGCUGAAGGCGUAUCGCGAGGUAUACUGGAGCGGACAGAAAAGCAAAUGUAGGCAUAAGUAACGAUAAGGCAGGUGAGAAACCUGCCACCGUAAGACUAAGGUUUCCUGAUCAACGUUAAUCGGAUCAGGGUCAGUCGGGUCCUAAGGCGUAGCCGAACGGCGAAGUCGAUGGACAACAGGUUAAUAUUCCUGUACCAGUACCAAUGCGAUCUGGGG